rnacentral:rRNA from 1 species
GAUUGCAGGCUGCAACCCGCCUGCAUGAAGUCGGAAUUGCUAGUAAUCGCGGAUCAGCAUGCCGCGGUGAAUACGUUCCCGGGCCUUGUACACACCGCCCGUCACACCAUGGGAGCCGGUAAUACCCGAAGUCAGUAGUCCAACCACGUGAGGACGCUGCCGAAGGUAGGAUUGGCGACUGGGGUGAAGUCGUAACAAGGUACC